AUGGCGGCGGGAGAUCGCCGGGCUCUGUGUCUGGUCGCCGGCGCGAUUCUCCUCUGCUCGUGCUUUGCUCGGGUGCGGUGCGGCGACGAGCAGGAGCAGCAGGAGCAGGAGAUUCAGAGGCUCAGGUCCAAGGUCGCGUCCCUAGAGGACGAGGUCGGCUGGAGGAAGGAGGAGACCUCGCAGCUGGAGAGCGUCGUCAGGGAGAGGACGGCGCAGAUCGCGGCGUUGGUCGGCGGACUAGAGGCUAUGCAGGUGAGGAAUGUGGCUGACGAUGAAUCCGUGGUGAAGGCGAGCACCAACAGUGCGAUGAUCGAGAAGCAGAUUGAGAGGCUGGGCAGUGAUUUGGAAGAUCAGGUUAAGAAAGGGGAGUUAUUAGAAGCCCGGGCCAGCGAGGCAGAGAAAAGCCUGCUUGAGCUCGGUCAGAAGUUGGACCGUGUUGAGAAGAUCAACGCUGAGCAGAGGAAGAAAAUUGAGGAGCUGGAGCAAGAUCUUGAGCAUUCAAAAGACAAAGUCUCUGAAGUGCAAAGACGAGCAAAAUUGAAGGCUGAAGAGUUGGCAAAUGUUCAUGGCAUGUGGCUUCCGUAUUGGUUCGCAUCACGCUCUGUACAUUGCCAGGAACUAGCAUCUGCCAAAUGGCAUCUCCACGGGAAGCCUGUGCUUGAUGCUCUGAUGGAGAAGGUUGCUGAGACGUUGGCACAUGCACAAAGACUAGUGGAACCACACUUGCAGGCAACAAAAAAUAAACUGUUGCCUGUUGCCAAAUUUCAUUUCAACUCACUGAAGAACAGCACUAAGCCGGUAGCUGCCAGGAUCGUCACAGCCUACAGAGCUCGCAAGGAUGCCAUCCAGCCAUGUGUGGCCAAGGCUCAAGAGUUUGCAGAUCACUACUGGCAGGAAUGCAGGAAGUUCUCGGAGACACACGUCGCACGGAUCGCGGCAGCGUCUGAACCUCACCUUUCGGCUAUUGAACCUUACACGAGGCCUGUCAAGUCUGUUUGGAGACAGCUCGUUAUGGCGACGAGCUUCUACCAUAGUCAGGUUCAGAAAGGAAUCAGUGGCUUCCUGGAGGAGAGCGAGCUGCUGGACCCACUUUCAGCUCAUAGAUUGGCGUGGUGGAUGGCGUCCGCCAUGUUCGCGCUGCCGAUGUUGUACACCUACAAGAUAUUCUCGGCUACAGUCCGCAAAAAAAUUCAGGCGAGAGCGGACAGAGGUGGAGGCACAUCUUCGAGCCGCAAGCACGCGCGCAGGGUCGAGGAGUAG
rnacentral:rRNA from 1 species